GUUACAUGUGAGGAUUUUUUUUCGUUUAUUUUGAAGCCCCAUUUUUGGAACCACAUUUCCAUGCGGUCGAGACAUCGCUGGAAAGUGGAUGAGGCAAUUGCCGGGUCUGCGUGGGUAGCUAAUAGCGCUGUGUCGUCUGCAAAUGUUGCUAUUGUUACCUCGUUUGAUAUAGGGUUUGGCUGAUCAUGUGGGUUAUGCGGUGGAUUUGCUCUACUGUUGAGUGUUGUUUUCGAAAGCCGAAUUGGUGAUCUGGGAGUGUUUUCAAUUCUUCUAGGAGUGGAAGGAGACGAUUCGUGAGCAUCCCCUCGAAUAGUUUAGACAGGGUAGGUAAAAGACUGAUUGGGCGAUAGGAGCUGAUUUCAUAUAUUGGUUUACCG
rnacentral:misc_RNA from 1 species